ensembl:lncRNA
ACAGAGGGGCCUGUCAUGGUGUCUCAGGACACACGGAGACACCUUCUGAUUUCCUCUGAGCCUGUGAAACGGGGCCAGUGUUCUGUUUGCGGGAGUGUGAGCUGCCUGCUGAGCACGGUGGCUGACUCAAGAGACAGCCUAUCAACGCCGGCCAUUCACAGGGACGGUGUACACACAACGAUAAUUCUUUCCAGAAAUACCUGCUGAACGUCCGAGACAGGCGAGGCACAGCGCAGGGUGCUGCCCUUGGAGACCUGAGCCCCGCCUUCCUGGAGGAGGUGUACAAGGGUAAUUCUAACCUAGCCUGGUGGACGGCAAGGGCGGAGCAGAGGGGAGUGUUCAGAGAGAGCUUACUCGGAGGAGGUGGCAUCUGAGCUGGGUCUGGGCAGUAUCGGGGACUGUGGGGGCAGGUGAGGUGAAGCUGGCUGUGGCCGAGCAGAGAGCAAGGCGCAGAAGCGUGACAGCGAGGCGCAAGAUUAGCACAAGGGGGCUCCACGUGGCCCCAGGGUGGUGUCCAGGGGCCAUAAGUAGAGAAGGAAGUAGAGAAGUCCCCCAAACACGCCACUCGAUUCUGCCGGUUGGGUGGCCUUGGGAAAGGAUGUCUGGUCCAGUGAGACUCACGGUUGUCAAGGAACAAGGAGAGAGAAUGGGAGAACAACCCACCGCAAAUUAAAGCUAAUGAAACGAAAAGACAGCCACCGAGGAAUGACGCAAAUGCCACUGAAUGCCGAGAUCCAUGGAGAGAUGAGCCUGCGGCUGAUCAGGGCUCCAGCUGUCUCUGUCAUCUUCAAGAUGCUUCCAGCGCCCCGCCCCUCCCGGCCUGUGGCACCUGUGUGGCUCAGCAGCCCUAUUGUCAUUUCCAGUCACAAUUCAAGUUCCUCGGGUUCAGAAAGCAUGCUGUAACCAGGCACCCCCCGCCCAUUUCCUGCCCCAGCCUCCUCCUGGCCACCUCUGCCUUUUGGUGGGACAAAGUUACGCUGUUAGAAUCCAGGCAGGGUCUCUCUUCCACACUCCUGCUCAACUUCUCCUCUGGACCACUCCCUUCUUACUCAGGAUCUCUCUUCUCCUGUGAUCUUCUCCACUCCACAUUCUGGCCUUAUCCAUAUGACCCAAAUAUUCUGGAAGGGGUUCUGCUUGGGCAUUUAGGCCCUGGGAUGAGACUCCCAUCAUGCUCGGAAGCUUCCAAGCCUUCCAAUUUUGUUUGCUGGUCUUUCUCUUUCUUUCUUUCUUUCUUUCUUUCUUUCUUUCUUUCUUUCUUUCUUUUUCUCUUUCUUUCUUUCUUUCUUUCUUUCCUUCCUUCCUUCCUUCCUUCCUUCCUUCCUUCCUUCCUUCCUUCCUUCCUUCCUUCCUUCCUUUCUUUCUUUCUUUCUUUCUUUCUUUCUUUCUUUCUUAAUGGAAAGUAGAUAGGGAGAGCAGGACAAACCUGCCCUUACAGGCUCUGCUGUCUGUCCUCGGCUCCCCUGCCCUAUCCCAUCUCCAACAAUAUGGUCCUGAUGGAACCAUUAAGGGUCAGGCUUGGAUCCUUGCAAUCCAGCCCACGGAAGUGAACGGUGUGGGUCCCUACCGGUGGGAAGCCCCCCUGCUGAGUGAGGAGAGGUGACUGCCCUUGCUGCAGUCCCAGCUCUGACCUUCAGCUGCCCCUCAGCAGCCUCCCAUCUCCACAUGGCCGGCCCCAGAAGGCAGUGAACUCCCUCAGGGGCUGAGGUAGUCACUGAGCUAUGUUCUGGCUUGCCCUCCCCUUUUGACUGAGGGAGGUACACCAAGAGCUGGCACCCAGCUCCCCAGCUUCCCAAAUGGGCACCAAUAUGGCUCCCCCACUGGCAUUGUACUGUCCUGCUCAGUGUCUUCACAAGGCUCUUGGACUGUUCCCCAGGGACGUGAGGCUGGAAACCCAGUGAGAGACUGAAAGAAACCAGCCACCCCCAGGGCCGGCCAUGCCAACGAGGGCAGACGUCAAGAUGUCUCCAUCAAGGCUCCGGGGACUCUGGUUCCAUAUGUGAUCCACCCACCCAGUGUUUAUAUGACUGCCUCACCCACUAGACUGCCAGUCCUGUGUGGGCAGGCUUGGGUCACUGUUGGGUUCUCUGUACCUACAGUACGUUGUUUCCCCCAAAGAGUGUAUGCUGGACAAAGAAAUAGACGAAUGAGCCAGUCCCCUUUCCCUUUAUUCUUUGACCUGCUUUGUGUCAUCCUUACUCACUCAGGCCCAAGUAGGAAGCUCUCUACUCAGAACCCGAGAUGAGUCUUUUUGUCUUGUUUUGUUUUUGAGUCUUUUUGUUUUGUUUUUGUGGUGCUAGGGGGAUUGAACCUUGGUCCUGGGGCUAUACCUUCCAACACCACAAGGCCCUUUUUGAAAACCACACUGAGUUGCCAUGAUGUCACUGAGCUCUCGCUGCAGCCUGG